rnacentral:lncRNA from 1 species
UUAUACUUUUCUCAAUUUUUUAUUUCAUAAUUUUUAGGGAAAACUUCAAAAACCUCCCUGUGGUUUCGUGCUUUCUCACUUUAGUACCCUGUGGUUUCAAAUGUAUCAAUUUGCCCCCCUGUGGUUUCGUUUUUCUCUUUUUGUUAUCAAUUUUAUUAUUAUUUUUUUCUUAAAUCAGUGACAAAGUUAAAAUUAAAGGAUACUAAAGUGAAUAUUCGAUAAAUAUAGAUGGUUAUCUAAAGUUUUUUGUAUAUAAUUUAACGAAAUAUUAACGAAAAAGCUUCCGAAAAGAUAAAAAUGAAACCACAUGGGGGCAAAUUGAUACGUUUUAAACCACAGGGUACUAAAGUGAGAACGCACGAUACCACAGGGGGGAUUUUUGA